GAGUGUUCCAUAGGGAGGUAGUUCCAUUGUGAGGUAUUUCCAUAGGGAGAGUAGUUCCAUUGGUGAGAGUAGUUCCAUAGGGAGAGUAGUUCCAUUGGUGAGAGUAGUUCCAUAGGGAGAGUAGUUCAUUGUGGUAGUUCCAUAGGUGAGAGUAGUUCCAUAGGGAGAGUAGUUCCAUAGGGAGAGUAGUUCCAUUGGGGAGAGUAGUUCCAUAGGGAGAGUAGUUCCAUUGGGAGAGUAGUUCCAUUGGGAGAGUAGUUCCAUUGGGAGAGUAGUUCCAUUGGUGAGAGUAGUUCCAUUGUGAGAAAGUAGUUCCAUGGUGAGGUAGUUCCAUUGGUGAGAGUAGUUCCAUAGGGAGAGUAGUUCCAUUGGGAGAGUAGUUCCAUUGGUGAGAGUAGUUCCAUUGGUGAGAGUAGAGUUCCAUUGGUGAGAGUAGUCCAUUGUGGAGUGUUCCAUAGGGAGAGUAGUUCCAUUGGUGAGAGUAGUUCCAUUGGUGAGAGUAGUUCCAUUGGUGAGAGUAGUUCCAUAGGGAGAGUAGUUCCAUAGGGAGAGUACUGUUUGUUCUGUAGGGAAAGUAGAUAUUUUGGUAAAGCAGUUAUGAUAAUGAAAACAAAUCCUCAUAUUUUCAUAUACCGUAGAUUUGUGGUAUUUAAAUGUCUGUUCAUUCCCCAGCCCCAGUAUCCCUGGAGAGGAAGAGGCCAAGGAAGCCAUCUCACAAGGUCCUGGAAUGCACCAUAGAAGAAGUGUCACUCAGUCCUCCAAGGAAGAAGGAGUUGAAGAAGCAGAGUGGACAGACAGAGGAGAAGACAGAAGUCGGGGACACUCAGGUUAAGUCUGUGAAGAAAGAAGUGCCUGUAUCCAGUGUGACAACUCCAGAGAGCAUGGAUUCUCUGCAGGGCUCCUCUCCUGCCCGGCCCUCUAGCCCUACGGUGCUCCUCACCCCCAAGGAAGAGACCGAGAAGAUCAGUCCUGGGGUGGGAGGAGAGGGCCACACCAACGGAGAGAGAUCACCCAAACCUGAGGUAUAG
rnacentral:lncRNA from 1 species